GUUCUCUCUUUCUCUCUCUCUCCCAGUGGUCCAUGUGGCUGUUAGAGUUGCUACCACUGUCAGUCUGUUUGUGGCUGUGAUCAUAGUUGCAGUCAUUUACAGGAUGAGAUCAGGUGAUCCCCAGGGCAAACCAAACACCUCUGCUCAUAGUGUUGACUCUGCUGUAACCAGCCUGUCCUUGUAGCCUUAAGGGCUCUUUAGACACAGCUGUUUCCAGACUCUUCAUCAUCCUCCAUCACCU